ACGCGUCAGUGCUCGACGAUCACAUGGACACUCAAACAAUGGAAAUUGAAAUGGAAAUGGCUUUGAAACGCGAGAAAAUCGACGCUCAAAUGGUCUUAAACAGUGAUUUUUCGGUUGCAAAUGAGGUUACAAUAUCAUCAAUGAAAUAUCAAGGGCGUCCGACUCCGACUAGAAAGGUACCGUAUCAAAAUGAAGACGAACACCUCGUCACCACAAUGCAGGUGAUUUAUCGCGGAAAAUGGCAUUUUUUCACCGAAAAAAACCCUGAAAAAUGAGGAUUUUUACUUGAAAAAUCCUGUGAAAAUGAGCAAAAACCACACCUAAAACGAGAAUCCACUAAAAAUGGCAAAGUAAAGUUUCAAAUGCUCUGAAAACGAUCAAAAAUCGACCAGAAAUAGCCGAAAUUUCACAGAAAAUUCACUGUAAAAAGCUGCUUAAAAAGAGCCAAAAUAAUGCCCUAAAAUUCCGAAAACUCACUUUCAAAUACCUGCGAAAAGCCUUCAGAAAGCGUCUAAAAUCACAGAAAAAAAACCCCAAUUUUUGCACAGAAAUCCUCUAAAAAACCAGCAAAAACCGUCUCAAAAAAGUUUUGCAGCGUGUCGCCGCAGCCACCUCAUUCACCGGAGAAACUCUCAAUCUCAAAUCUUCGGAUCUCUCAAUUCCCAACAAAGCUGCCCAUUUCCUUUAUUUCCGUUGCUACGAAGAACAUGAAGUUCAGAAAGAAUUCCCGUUGACAAUCGAUGAAACACGUAAAGGGCCUCAGAAUUUCCUUGUUGAACCCCGUCACGGACUAAAAAAUACCGAUUAUUAUAUUGAUAGUUAUUUGUGGAAUCGUGGCAAAUCGACGAGCUCGAAGAAGAAAAUUUUUGUGGAAAUAGAGGGAAAUCAUGUGAAAACGUCGAGAAGAACUGCCGAAACUGCACAUUAUGUGUUGAAUUGGUAUUAUUCGAAUAUGGAGAAUAGAAUUUGCAAAAAGG
rnacentral:sRNA from 1 species